ensembl:lncRNA
GUGGAGCCCGCGCCGCGGAGCCCGCGAGCACUCCAGAUCCGGGUUUUGCCGGCCUCCCCUUUCCCCGGCGCGAGCCCCCUCCCCGGCUCUCGGAGCUCUCGUCGCCCGCCCGCCGGCGACUCAUUCUGGCCUCGGCUCUGGCCCCGGCUGCGUCCGCCUCGCGCGCAGGCUGCAAGGCCCCCGCGCGCCCGCGCUCUGACCCGCUCUCGGCGCGUCGCCCCCCUUAGCCUGCCGCCCGGCACCGCUCGCUCCAGUUCCCAGGAGCGGGGAUGCAGAUGCUGCAGCUGGUCGGGGUGGGCGCCGCUGCCGCCGCCGCCACUGCUGGCUUUUCCCGGACUGCUUGUUGCCUCCGCUCCGGCAGCUGCUGCCGCCGCCGCCUGUGACUCGCCCCCUCCCCUUUCUUUCUUCUCUUUUUGCCUCCGUCCUCUUCCUCCGGGAGUGCGCGCGCGCGGGUUGCACGGUUUGCUUUGGCAGGAGCUCGCUCGUGUGUGCGCGUGUGUGAGUGUGCGUGUCUGGAGAGCGCCCGUGCCUCGCUCGCUCCUGGGGAGUCGAAGAAGAGAAAGAACCGAAGAGACAGCGGCAGCGGCGGCGGCGGCGGCGCGGAGCCCGGGGCCGCGCGAUGAAGCUCCCACAUGCCCGCGGCCGCCCGGCCCGGCCGGCGAGCUAAUCAGCCACCCCCAGGGCUCGGGGCUCGCCGGCCCCCGGGACGCAGUGCUCGGCGGCCGGGCGCCCGCUCUGCCCGCACGCCCCCGUCGUGCACCCGGGAAGGAGUUUGCGUGGCUCUCGCUCCGGCUGUCCGCGGAGGUUGCGGGCGCGAGGGGGGACCCGCGGCUGGGAGAGAACCUCGGGAGGACGAGGAAGAGGACGUUUUGGCGGAGAAGCCACCCCUGGCCCUCGCGGCUCCCCCUACCUUUUCCAUCGCUCCCGCUCCGAGGCGGAAAGGGGAGGACGUGGAAGAAGAAAAAGAAAGAGAAGGGGGGGUGGGGUGGGAGAACUGGAUAUAAAGAUCGGCUGGGGGGAUGGUGGAAGAUUUUUGGUCUCUUCGGCAGCGUCUUUUCUUAA